AUUGAACGCUGGCGGCAGGCCUAACACAUGCAAGUCGAACGAGUAGCGGACUGGUGCAUAAUUUCUUUGAAACUGCCCGAUGUAGGGAUCUAACUGCUGGAACCGGUAGCUACUACCGCAUACCAUCGUAUGUGCCCCGAUGGGAUUAGCUAGUAGGUGGGGUAACGGCUCACCUAGGCGACGAUCCCUAGCUGGUCUGAGAGGAUGACCAGCCACACUGGAACGGAGACACGGGCCAGACUCCUACGGGAGGCAGCAGUGGGGAAGAUUGAACAAUGGGCGCAAGCCUGAUCCAGCCAUGCGGCGUGUAUGAAGAAGGUCUUAGGGUUGUAAAGUACUGUCAGCGAGGAGGCGUUACUCGCAGAAGAAGCACCGGCGAACUCCGUGCCAGAAGCCGCGGUAAUAC
rnacentral:rRNA from 1 species